GACGAACGCUGGCGGCGUGCUUAACACAUGCAAGUCGUACGGUAAGGCCCUUUCGGGGGUCCACGAGUGGCGAACGGGUGAGUAACACGUGAGUAACCUGCCCACAACUUUGGGAUAACGCUAGGAAACUGGUGCUAAUACUGGAUAUGUGCUCCUGCUGCAUGGUGGGGGUUGGAAAGCUCCGGCGGUUGUGGAUGGACUCGCGGCCUAUCAGCUUGUUGGUGGGGUAGUGGCCUACCAAGGCGGCGACGGGUAGCCGGCCUGAGAGGGUGACCGGCCACAUUGGGACUGAGAUACGGCCCAGACUCCUACGGGAGGCAGCAGUGGGGAAUAUUGCACAAGGGGCGCAAGCCGGAUGCAGCAACGCCGCGGGCGGGAGGACGGCCUUCGGGUUGGAAACCGCUUUCAGCAGGGACGAAGCUUUUUGUGACGGUACCUGCAGAAGAAGCACCGGCUAACUACGUG
rnacentral:rRNA from 1 species